rnacentral:misc_RNA from 1 species
GAUGAAGAACGCAGCGAAAUGCGAUAAGUAAUGCGAAUUGCAGAAUUUCCGUGAAUCAUCGAAUCUUUGAACGCACAUUGCGCCCUUUGGUAUUCCAAAGGGCAUGCCUGUUCGAGCGUCAUUUGUACCCUCAAGCUUUGCUUGGUGUUGGGCGUCUUGUCUCUAGCUUUGCUGGAGACUCGCCUUAAAGUAAUUGGCAGCCGGCCUACUGGUUUCGGAGCGCAGCACAAGUCGCACUCUCUAUCAGCAAAGGUCUAGCAUCCAUUAAGCCUUUUUUUCAACUUUUGACCUCGGAUCAGGUAGGGAUACCCGCUGAACUUAAGCAUAUCAAUAAGCGGAGGA